GACGAAGGUGGCAAGCGUUGUUCGGAAUCACUGGGCUUAAAGCGCACGUAGGCUGCUCAUCAAGUGUCUUGUGAAAUCCCCCGGCUCAACCGAGGAAUUGCUUGGCAGACUGAUGGGCUUGAGGCAGGUAAGGGCGAGUGGAACUCUUGGUGGAGCGGUGAAAUGCGUAGAUAUCAAGAGGAACGCCGGUGGUGAAGACGACUCGCUGGGCCUGUCCUGACGCUGAGGUGCGAAAGCCAGGGGAG
rnacentral:rRNA from 1 species